AGUGAACGCUGGCGGUAGGCCUAACACAUGCAAGUCGAACGGCAGCACAGUAAGAGCUUGCUCUUACGGGUGGCGAGUGGCGGACGGGUGAGGAAUACAUCGGAAUCUACUUUUUCUUGGGUGAUAACGUAGGGCAACUUACGCUAAUACCGCAUACGACCUACGGGUGAAAGCAGGGGAUCUUCGGACCUUGCGCGAUUGAAUGAGCCGAUGUCGCAUUAGCUAGUUGGCGUGGUAAAGGCCCACCAAGGCGACGAUCCGUAGCUGGUCUGAGAGGAUGAUCAGCCACACUGGAACUGAGACACGGUCCAGACUCCUACGGGAGGCAGCAGUGGGGAAUAUUGGACAAUGGGCGCAAGCCUGAUCCAGCAAUACCGCGUGGGUGAAGAAGGCCUUCGGGUUGUAAAGCCCUUUUGUUGGGAAAGAAAAGCAGCAGGUUAAUACCCCGCUGUUCUGACGGUACCCAAAGAAUAAGCACCGGCUAACUUCGUG
rnacentral:rRNA from 1 species